GUGUGCGCGCGCACAGAUGCUGGGCGUACAGGGUGCCAGUCAGGACUGUCCAGGGGAGAAUGCCCGGCAGCUGGCCAGAGUUGUGUGUGCCACUGUGCUGGCAGGAGAACUCUCACUGAUGGCUGCUCUGGCUGCUGGCCACCUGGUCAAGAGUCACAUGACACACAACAGAUCCAAGGUGAACCUACAGGAAACUCCAGGAACGUGCACCACAAAAGCCUCUUGAGAACCUGAAAGCAGCGCUACACUAGCUCACAGAGCAGUAAACCUGGGAAAGAUGGACAAUUUGAAAUGGACUAAUAAUUUUGUUCAAUGAAAACAGACCUCAGAAGUCUUCCAAGUGCUUUCAAAGAGACACUGGUUUCUUUUGACCAAUCACUAUGUUGGAUAGGAAAGGAUCCAUAUAAGCUAAUCAGACUAUUCUGUGGGACUAUAUUAAUUUUCUGUGUUUUAUGGAGCUUUUAUUUCUACAUUUAAGAAUGCUAUCAGGUUUUGGGUUCAAAUGAAUCAUUUCUGCUUCCCUGAUGCCAAAUGAAGCAACUUUGUGACCUAAGCAGUGAAUGUUUGUGGUUGUCAGUGGGAACUUCAGAACAAUGCUGCUUACUACAGAUUCUGCAUCAUUUCAUUUCUUCAUCAGGGGGGUUUGUGAACAAGAAUGUAGUGUCAUAGUUUGAAGCAGCCCACACAACUGUGUGAACUCAGCAGUAUCGCAAAGCAGACUUGAGUCCUGGUUCUACCAAAAAAGACUUAAGUAAGUUUUAGAAUAUGGAAGAAUAUAGCAGAAAUGGUAUAUAAGCUUCGUAACGAGUCUAUCAUAGCAGGAUAACUAAAAAAAGGCUACAAGUGCCUGAUGAGACUUUACAACAAAUCAUCAGUCCCUUCAUUCUGAGAUUAGAUUGUAAAACUAACCUUUGCACUUAGCACAUUUCCAGUACUAACUAUCAAAGUAAAGUGUGUUCCAGUGCCCAUUUACUACUGUACAUGUGCGUGCGUGUGUGUGUGUGUGUGUGUGUGUUUGUGUGCGUGCUUGUGUGUGUGUUCAGUCAUAGUGUGUUUUCCUGUUCCAGUGGAUGGCAAAUAUUUUGGAUAUAUUUUGUAAUAAAUACAAGAUGGCUUUA